ensembl:lncRNA
GUGAGAUAUAAGGCAGACACUGCAGGAAACUCCUCACUUCACUUUCUUCAUGUGAGCAGCCUGUCAGCUUCACUUGUUUCUUCUCUGGUUGGAGUUUCAGCACUUCCAGGAGGAUGGAGGUCUUUCUCUCUGAGAGGUUUAUGAACCAGACUGCAGGAGCUGACUGGAAAACUGACUGUAAUGAUGGAAGGACACUCAAGCCUGUUUUAGUCUCAUAAGAGUACAGGUCCAUGAGGAAGUCACAGCAUUUAUGUUUCAGAGGUCUGUUUUUGUAUCUGCACACUGAUGAUAACAGCUCCAGAAUCUUCUCUCCUGUCUGCUGUUCUCUCUCUGCUGCUGCACAGAACAGAUUCACAAAGAACUUCGUUCUGUCUUUGUCUGAUGUCUCAUCAUCAACACUG